GUGGGGAAUAUUGCACAAUGGGGGAAACCCUGAUGCAGCGACGCCGCGUGAAGGUAGAAGUAUCUCGGUAUGUAAACUUCUAUCAGCAGGGAAGACAAUGACGGUACCUGACUAAGAAUCCCAGGCUAACUACGUGCCAGCAGCCGCGAUAAGACGUAGGGGGCAAGCGUUAUCCGGAUUUACUGGGUGUAAAGGGAGCGUAGACGGAAGAGCAAGUCUGAUGUGAAAGGCAGGGGCCCAACCCCUGGACUGCAUUGGAAACUGCCCAUCUUGAGUGCCUGAGGGGUAAGCGGAAUUCCUAGUGUAGCGGUGAAAUGCGUAGAUAUUAGGAGGAACACCAGUGGCGAAGGCGGCUUACUGGACGGUAACUGACGUUGAGGCUCGAAAGCGUGGGGAGCAAACAGG
rnacentral:rRNA from 1 species